CCACAAGGGGUGAAGCCUGCGGUUUAAUUGGAGUCAACGCCGGGAAUCUUACCGGGAGCGACAGUAGAAUGAAGGCCAAGCUGACGACUUUGCUAGACAGACUGAGAGGAGGUGCAUGGCCGUCGCCAGUUCGUGCCGUGAGGUGUCCGGUUAAGUCCGGCAACGAACGAGACCCCCAUCCUCUGUUGCUCAGCUUUCUCUACGGAGGGAGCCGCACACGGAGGAGACUGCCAGUGUUAAACUGGAGGAGGGAGGGGGCUACGGCAGGUCAGCAUGCCCCGAAUCUCCCGGGCCACACGCGGGCUGCAAUGGCGAGGACAGCGGGUUCCGACCCUGAAAGGGGAAGGUAAUCCCUUAAACCUCGCCGUAGUUGGGAUUGAGGGCUGUAACCCGCCCUCAUGAACAUGGAAUCCCUAGUAACCGCACGUCACCAUCGCGCGGUGAAUACGUCCCUGCUCCUUGC
rnacentral:rRNA from 1 species